UACGAAGGGGGCUAGCGUUGCUCGGAAUUACUGGGCGUAAAGGGCGCGUAGGCGGCUUGGCCAGUCAGGCGUGAAAUUCCUGGGCUUAACCUGGGGACUGCGCUUGAUACUGCCAGGCUUGAGGCCGAGAGAGGGUGGUGGAAUUCCCAGUGUAGAGGUGAAAUUCGUAGAUAUUGGGAAGAACACCGGUGGCGAAGGCGACCACCUGGCUCGGUACUGACGCUGAGGCGCGACAGCGUGGGGAGCAAACAGG
rnacentral:rRNA from 3 species